rnacentral:rRNA from 1 species
CAGCCGCCGCGGGAAUACGUAGGUCCCGAGCGUUGUCCGGAUUUAUUGGGCGUAAAGCGAGCGCAGGCGGUUAGAUAAGUCUGAAGUUAAAGGCUGUGGCUUAACCAUAGUAUGCUUUGGAAACUGUUUAACUUGAGUGCAGAAGGGGAGAGUGGAAUUCCAUGUGUAGCGGUGAAAUGCGUAGAUAUAUGGAGGAACACCGGUGGCGAAAGCGGCUCUCUGGUCUGUGACUGACGCUGAGGCUCGAAAGCGUGGGGAGCAAACAGGAUUAGAUACCCCCGUAGUCCCUGUCUCUUAUACA